rnacentral:rRNA from 1 species
UACAGAGGGGGCAAGCGUUAUUCGGAAUUAUUGGGCGUAAAGGGCGCGUAGGCGGCCUGGCAAGUGGAAGGUGAAAUCCCUCGGCUUAACCGAGGAACUGCCUCCCAAACUGCUUGGCUUGAGACCAGGAGAGGUGAGUGGAAUUCCCAGUGUAGCGGUGAAAUGCGUAGAUAUUGGGAGGAACACCAGUGGCGAAGGCGGCUCACUGGACUGGUACUGACGCUGAGGCGCGAACAGCGUGGGGAGCAAACGAGGA